GGUACCUACGGGGAAGGACAGGACUGUGAACAAACCAGACAUCAGCAGACCUUCUAUUUCCCUUGUUAAAAAGAUGGUAGCAGCUCAAAACAUGCCUGAGAGGGGCUCUUCUGAAAUGCCUUUGAUACCCAGUAAGAAGGCAGUGCACUGAAAUCAGCAGCUGAGGAUUCUCCGUACAGUAUCAUUUUCUUGGGAAAAAAAAAAAAAAAAAGUCUUAGAACUACAGUAAGUUCCCCAAGAUUCUGAAUUUUCACUGCCAGGCUCUACUUAACAUGUACCCCUGACAUUAGGUCCUGCAAACACUAUUAUACUCUUUUGCAGACUCAGACAAAUUAUUCUUGAGCUACUGCAUGUCUCCUUUGAAUUGCAAGGGAAAUGGCCCAAGAAGCAGCUUCCCUACUUCAGACAUCCACAUCCAAGCUGAAGAGACAAGGAGGCAGACAAUGAAAACCAAGAAGAAAAGGUUGUGGCACUCGGGAUGUGGGAUCGGAGAAAGGCUGAUGCUUCAUCCUGGAAGUCUCACUUUCCUGAAUUCUCAUCACCUGUUCUGUGCUGCAGCUCUAGAAACCACAACGGUAUACAGACCAUGCAAUCAAGCAAUGAAGGAAGCUUAUACCUAUGAAAUAAAUAUUAAUUUGUUUUCAGGCAGAUGUGUUCUGAGUCUGACUGUCAUUUUUUUAGUAAUGCUUGUGUUGACAUGAGAAAGAGAACAAAGAUAUUGGUUUAAGCUGAAUAUCAAACUACACUUUAAAAUGUAAGGCACUUUAACUGGCAAACAAGCAAGGGCUAAAGGGUAAGAUGAUGACAAAUAGAAAGCUAUUGAUGAUUCUGUCCUUCUGAUACAUCCUGCCACAGCAGAGCUGAGGUAUUCACUAGACAGCUUCUGCCUUCUGGGACAACUUUUCCAGGAAACAAUGUGAAUUCUGAAUUCAAGCUGUCAUAAUUGUUGAACAGAGCAAUAUAUUUCUGGACUAUUAGUAUUUCUUUGAAAGGAAUAGAAUACACUGAAAAGCUUCCAAAAUUAAUUCAGGGAAGCUGAGUAUCACAUUAGACAACAGAACAGUUCUGAGCCACACAGCAUUUAUGCAUUUAUGCAGUUUUAAAAGCAACUAAGUAAUUAUCCGAAAAGUAUAGAACUUAGUGAAAUUGAGAGAAACUACAUAAACUAUUCUAAAGAACUUCAGCCCGGAAUGCAAUUAAAUAUUCAAAACACAUUUAAAAAAAAAAAAAAAUUCUGAUAGAAGAAAUAGAAACUGGUUAUUUCUCUUUCCACCUUGCAGCUGAAAGACCAGUUCCUAAGCUCGUCCCUAGGUCAGGUUUGUGAAAAUGUUCUCAAACUAUUCAGAAGAGACAAAUAAGAAGAGAUACAUGUGGCAGAUCUCAGGAAAACAUUACUUUUGUCACUGUUUUUGGAGUAAUGUAUCAAUAAAAAUAAAAGUUUAAAAUUGGAUUACUACCUA
rnacentral:lncRNA from 1 species